AACCACAGCGCCGGCUAGGGAGUAUAGGAAUGGAGUAACGCAAUGUGAUGCUGGCAAUGAAGUGAGCGUGGCAAUGCCACUGACGAGAUCUGCCCAGCUUUGGAAUUUGUCCCAAGCAGGACAUAUAAAAAAAAGACUUCAGGAAAAGCCUAGGUGGAGCACUACCAUGAAAUGUGCUGGAACGUAGGAAAAGUGAGUAAUUCUUUAUAUUUUACA